GACGAACGCUGGCGGCGUGCUUAACACAUGCAAGUCGAACGGUGAAGCGCCUUCCUUUUUGGUGGGUGUGGAUGAGUGGCGAACGGGUGAGUAACACGUAAGUAACCUGCCCCCUUCUUCUGGAUAACCGCAUGAAAGUGUGGCUAAUACGGGAUAUUCUGGGUCUGUCGCAUGAUGGGUCUGGGAAAGAUAUUGUUUCGGUGGGGGAUGGGCUCGCGGCCUAUCAGCUUGUUGGUGGGGUGAUGGCCUACCAAGGCGGUGACGGGUAGCCGGCCUGAGAGGGUGGACGGUCACACUGGGACUGAGACACGGCCCAGACUCCUACGGGAGGCAGCAGUGGGGAAUAUUGCACAAUGGGCGCAAGCCUGAUGCAGCGACGCCGCGUGAGGGAUGGAGGCCUUCGGGUUGUGAACCUCUUUCGCCAGUGAAGCAGGCCUGCCUCGUUUGUGGGUGGGUUGACGGUAGCUGGAGAAGAAGCGCCGGCUAACUACGUG
rnacentral:rRNA from 1 species